CUUUCAUCUCCGCUGCUUUCUAUCUCCUCCCCAUUUCUGAACUCUUUCAUCUCCUAUCCAUCUCUACAUGAAGAAAUUCAUCUCUUUCAGAUCUAAAACCACAGAAAUCAACAUCCAGUUUAUAGAUGAACUUGUAAACUUGAUUGGUUAGAGUUUCUUGGAGAUUGAAGAAAGAUGAAAGCAGUGGAAGUUAGGUUUAGGGUUUCUGAAGAUUAGGAAUUCGUUUUGGUGAUGUAUAAGAAGGAUUAAGAUGGGUUUAGUUGAUUGAGGAAAGGUUUAUGGUUAAUUAGAUGUUCUGAAGCUGUUCUGAAGAUGAAUUGAAGAAAUUACGGUUUGAGUUUCUUAUUUGGGAAUCAAUUGAUGAAACUGAUCAACCAGUCGAGGAGAUGGUUUUUAUUGUAAGAUGGGUUGAAGCUGUUCAAGAAGAAAUUAAAAGAAGUGAUAAUGAUUAUGAGUUUCUUUGUAUCUCAGGGAAGAAGUUCAAGUUGGGAAUUUGAGUUCGUACUUGAGGGUUUCCAAUUUUCUGUAAUUUCGAGCUUUUUGAAUCGAUUUGUUGAAGUUACAAUACGAGGAUUAACCAGUUGAGGGUGUUAUGAGAAGGAGAUGAAGUGGAUGUUGAAAGUAACAAAGAAGAUGCUGCUGUUGAGGGUGUGGUUGUAUUCAGGUGUAAAGGAUUCAGGUGGGGGUGGGUGGGAAGAAGUGAAAGUAAAAGCUUCCUUGCUACACAGAGAUAGCUUUUUGAGUCACCGACAUAAAUCUUUAAUUUUCUGACAGCCGAGCUCAAAGCUAUCCUCCCUUUGUCUGUCUGAAUCUGACUUUACUGCGUACUCUUUUCUACCUGCAUAGUAUAAUUAUUGCAAUUGUCUAUGGUACUUGCUUCUGAGUGUUUACAGCUUUCUGAUAGGGCAUAUUUUUAGCUCUUAAUCAUUGUUAAAAUUUCAUUCAAAUUGUUGCAGUAUAUUAGGUCUUUGAGUACAUCUAGUUCUGAAAUUUAAGAAACGUCUAAUGCAAAGAAAAGAAAAAUACGCUUUGGGAAAUUAGGAAGUGUUUAUGGUGCCGAGAGCAAAAAGAUUAAUGAUGGAAGUGGUAAUUUUGUAUUGAAGAGGUUUUAUUUUCAUCUUCACUUAUUAAGUACUGAUUUACUUCUACUUGGUUAAGACGAGAUCUCCAAGCUUGCAUAUUUACUUGUACUUGGUUAAGACGAGAUCUCCAAGCUUGCAUGUAAUUUGUUUUAAUUUGUGAAUUGCAGGUGAAAGUGCUUGAGAGGCUACUCCAUCAUCUCCUAAGAUGGAUGUGAUUGAGGAAAAAGGAAUUUUAUCCCUGGUCAAGCUAACAAGAAGUGGGUUGCUUCUUUUUACAUUUCCUAGAAGCUGCUCUCCUAACACUGUCGAUAUUGUGUUGAAAAUAUUUGAGUCUUUAGGUUCUGGGAAUGUGAAGCCACUAAUGAAGAAUCUUUCUCCAAGCACCCGUUUUGACAUCAGCUGUGGUUUGUUCGUUGACUGGAUACACUUUCUGGGCUGCUAAGUAGGGCAGUCUAGGACCCAUAUUGUUUACCUGUCUCAUGGUCCCUAUCCUAUCUAUCUGGAUCAUACAGGUUAAUUGAAUGAUGCUUUGUUGUGAGAUCAGAAAUUAAGGUUGGAGAACAAAGCAGCAACCAUUAGGUCCCUUAGCAGUUGCAAGAUUUGUAAGUUUAUGUAGUAUCUCCUUGAUUUAAGUUAGAAGAACUUAGGAAUUUCGUAACUUUCCAUGAACUGAACUUAGGAGCCAAGUAUGUUUCUAAUGUGUACACUAGUUUGUUG